rnacentral:lncRNA from 1 species
UUUGCCAACAUCACUCAGUCCCAACUUUGAAAAAGAAAAUCCUUUUUCAUUAACAUCCAACUGGCUUUAAGGAGGUCAAACUCAAGAUUUCCUUUUACCAACUGAGAAUCUUCCAGUUUAGCCUUUGACUAGAAGGCUCUCUGGGAAACCUUUCCCUCUGAGAAAUCUAGUGAGUAAAUUCCUGCCAUGGUGUCAUGUUCAUGGAUUUCACACUGUCCUUCUGCGCCCUGUCCAGCAGCCCUCCGAGGAGAGAGCCAGACUUCUGGACCACGAGUGUCUUUCCCUCCUCUGGCUGCUUAGUCAUCUCCCAAGUCAUUUGGCAGUUGUCUGUGGCCCCUUCAAAAUGUUUCCAUUUAUGGUUAGAAUUUGGUCUUCCCAGUUUGGUCACACAGAUGGGAAAACUUAAAUGAAAGACAGCAUCACAGAGCUUCUCUCAAGAGCAGGCAGAGGAAGAGGCUGGAGCUGGUAGCAGAAGGGGCUCCACGGUGACUGUGACCAAACAGACCACAGCACUGCUGAGGGGGUGGCCAGGGGAAGGGCCCACCGCCCACCAGGAGGUCUGCCUGCGGCUCUGCUCCUCCCUGGCACACAUCAUGGACUCCCAUUAUACAUGGAACACGUGCCUGGUGGGGAUCGAUGCCACCAUGGGGCCUGGGAUUAUUUGCAUCUUUGCUGGAAAGAGCCUUCACACCAACAUGAAACUUCAAGGACGCUAGAACGUCAGCGCCUGCCUGAGCGCCCCCAUCCUUCAGUGUGUCUGUGGACAGGGCUUGCGGUUCUAUGAAGAUAUGGCAGAAAGUAUUUUGGAGGAGAAAAGCAAUCCAGAUGUGUCACCUGGCUCCCAGCUACGUUUUUCCAGCAGACACCUACAACUGGAAACUCAGCAGGACUUGGACUCCAGAAUCCAAAUGAACUCUUACUUAACUCCUCCUCCACCAAUUCUCUCUGUGCCUCACCCACCACAGAGCUGGCUGGGCAGACGCCCUCUUCCAGGCACCAAGGAGAAAGGGCUGUGGCUACUCUGUCCACCACCCAGGAACAGGCUUCUCCCCAGACAUUUGCAGGGGAAGAAAUCUCUGCUCCCAUAUCUUCCUGCCCUGCUCGUGAUUUAA